GCUUGCUCUUGGGUGACGAGUGGCGGACGGGUGAGUAAUGUCUGGGAAACUGCCCGAUGGAGGGGGAUAACUACUGGAAACGGUAGCUAAUACCGCAUAACGUCGCAAGACCAAAGUGGGGGACCUUCGGGCCUCACACCAUCGGAUGUGCCCAGAUGGGAUUAGCUAGUUUGUGGGGUAAUGGCUCACCUAGGCGACGAUCCCUAGCUGGUCUGAGAGGAUGACCAGCCACACUGGAACUGAGACACGGUCCAGACUCCUACGGGAGGCAGCAGUGGGGAAUAUUGCACAAUGGGCGCAAGCCUGAUGCAGCCAUGCCGCGUGUAUGAAGAAGGCCUUCGGGUUGUAAAGUACUUUCAGCGAGGAGGAAGGCAUUGUGGUUAAUAACCGCAGCGAUUGACGUUACUCGCAGAAGAAGCACCGGCUAACUCCGUGCCAGCAGCCGCGGUAAUACGGAGGGUGCAAGCGUUAAUCGGAAUUACUGGGCGUAAAGCGCACGCAGGCGGUCUGUCAAGUCG
rnacentral:rRNA from 1 species